AUCCCAUUGCUCUUUGUACAGUUAUGACUUAAACUCUUCCUACUGGAUCUGCACUUAAUGUUUAAUGGGACGGUGACCCUGCACCUUCUGCUGGCCGCCAUCGUUCUCUUCCAUUUUGGCUUUUGAGCUUUGGUUUUCGUGCUCAGGGUCAUUUCCAGGUGUUUCUAAGAGUAUCCUGCUCAGGAAUUCUCCAUUUCAAUUAUGGCUUCCUUACCCCAGCUUUCCUGCCCGGUUUAGAUCUCAAAUGCCCUCACCACCCAACCCGUAUAUUGGAGUGUAGUCAUGCCCUGCCUUGUCUUGUGGUAAUCCUUAGUUUAUCUGUCUCCAGCUUGGUUAUCUGCCAGAUUUCCUUCAGUAAAAGAAGUGGCUCAGAAGCCCCCAGAACCAGUGUGGUCUUUUGUUACAAAGCAUGCUGACUACAAAAGUGGUUCCAUUAUCUACAAAGCCAAAGAAAUCCUUUGUACUGAGAGUUCCGAGGGACUCCAAGCUAGGCCAAGGCCUUCGACAUGACACUAGUGAGCCCAAGACCAUCCACCAGCUGGUUCUGGAGCACUUUCUUGACUUCUGGCCUAAGCCAUUCGUGGGCCAGCCCUGUCAGAAAGACAAGGAGUCCUUGGUUAUGAAGAAUGUGAAUUCAAGCCUUCAGAACAACGUGCUACCUCAUCCUUUAGUGAAGCUUCUUCCCAGAGAAGGAGUCCAGCAGAAACAGGAGACAGUGUCUCUGUGUUUUAAAGCUGACUCUGAGGUGGGUUUGGUUUUCCCACUCAACUGUUUUGAGUGCAUCACGUUCUCUGCUCUUGCAGCCUUCCCUUUUCAGUCAACCUGCAUAUAACACUUUCUUAGAAGUCAGACUCCUUGGA
rnacentral:lncRNA from 1 species